rnacentral:rRNA from 1 species
GACGGAGGGGGCAAGCGUUGUUCGGAAUCAUUGGGCGUAAAGGGCUCGUAGGCGGGCCGGUAAGUUUGGCGUGAAAUCUCCACCGCUCAACGGGGAGAGGUCGUCGAAUACUGCUGGCCUGGAGUACGGUAGAGGAUCAUGGAAUUCCUGGUGUAGCGGUGGAAUGCGUAGAUAUCAGGAAGAACACCAGUGGCGAAGGCGAUGAUCUGGGCCGUUACUGACGCUGAGGAGCGAAAGCCAGGGGAGCGAACGGG